UACAGAGGUCUCAAGCGUUGUUCGGAUUCAUUGGGCGUAAAGGGUGCGUAGGCGGCGUGGUAAGUCGGGUGUGAAAUCUCGGAGCUUAACUCCGAAACUGCAUUCGAUACUGCCGUGCUUGAGGACUGGAGAGGAGACUGGAAUUUACGGUGUAGCUGGUGAAAUGCGUAGAUAUCGUAAGGAAGACCAGUGGCGAAGGCGGGUCUCUGGACAGUUCCUGACGCUGAGGCACGAAGGCCAGGGGAGCAAACGGG
rnacentral:rRNA from 1 species